rnacentral:tRNA from 1 species
GGAGAGUUGUCCGAGUGGUUUAAGGAGCACGCCUGGAAAGUGUGUGUAGGUCAAAAGCCUACCGAGGGUUCGAAUCCCUCACUCUCCGCCA